rnacentral:lncRNA from 1 species
GUGAAACCAUUCAUAAUGUGGUUAGACUUGGUCAGAAGAUUAGGUAUACCUAAUCUUUUGACCAAGUCUAACCACAUUACAUGCUUUAAACUGCUAUUGUAAAACAAACUUUUUGCAAAAACUCUAAAAACACAGCUCUCUACAUUAUACGCAUCAUUCUCAUUUGGAAAAACACUGCCAUUUAAAUGCCACACUCAUUAAAUGAUGACCUUCAGCCAGUGAUCAUUUGUGAAAACACACAGAAUUCGUUCACUUAGAAAUCAAAACUCAGUUUUGAGAAAGAUUUUUUUACCCCCUUGCAUUUCUGUUUACAUUGUAUAUAUAUAUAUGUAUAUCUAUAUACUGUGUGUGUGUGUGUGUGUGUGUGUGUGUGUGCGCACGCGCGGUUUGCCCUCAUUCUUCUCUUCUUUCUUUAUUAGUUCAGUCUCUACAGCACGUCUGCAUGAUCUUGAGCAGUUUAAGCUCCUUCACAGCUCUGUUAUGGCGAAUGUUCAAACCAGGAUUCUUCAUCUGGAUCUCUCUAUCAUCAUUAUUUUCCUGAUUCAUGCAGAUUAUUCAAAAUCUAAUCAAGAGAAAAGGAUUCAGCAGCACAUCAACAAAACAGUGUUUGUGGGGGAAACAGUUACACUUCACUGCAACAAAACCCAACUUGAUGAUGAUUUCACAUGGAAAAUGAACAGCUUCGUUAUUUUUAGGCAGGACUCUGAAAGAAACAGAACAAUGACAAACUUCAGCUCAAACAGGAUUCACAUCGACCCCGCAGCUCCAAGAGAAUUAACAAUACAUCAAAUACAAGCGUCUGAUGCAGGAAACUACAGCUGUUACCCAGCAGCAAUAAGAUGGACAUUAACAAUAACAGAAAACACAACCAGACCAGAAUCACUCAAACAAAUGCCGCUGUACAUCAUCUUCUCAUGUUCUGGAGUCAUUAUGAUCUGUCUGAUCAUAACCAUCUGCGUUCACAGUAAACUGAAGCAGAUGAAGACAAACUCUGAUCUCUGUGAAAAAGACCAGGAGGCAGAAAGUUUAUUUACCACAGAACAGGUGAAGAUGAUCUCUGAC